GACGAACGCUGGCGGCGUGCCUAACACAUGCAAGUCGAGCGGUCCGGCACUCAACGUAGUUGGGUGGCGGAUAGCGGCGGACGGGUGAGUAACGCGUGGGCAACCUACCCUUAAGACCGGGAUAGCACCUCGAAAGGGGUGGUAAUACUGGAUAAGCUCCUUAUAGGGCAUCCUAUAGGGAGGAAAGGGAGGCGCAAGCUACCGCUUAAGGAUGGGCCCGCGUCCCAUCAGCUAGUUGGUAGGGUAACGGCCUACCAAGGCGACGACGGGUAGCCGGCCUGAGAGGGUGGUCGGCCACACUGGGACUGAGACACGGCCCAGACUCCUACGGGAGGCAGCAGUGGGGAAUCUUGGGCAAUGGGCGGAAGCCUGACCCAGCGACGCCGCGUGGGGGAGGAAGGCCUUCGGGUUGUAAACCCCGUUAGUGUGGGAAGAAGGGAUGACGGUACCACACGAAAGCCCCGGCUAACUACGUG
rnacentral:rRNA from 1 species